GCUGUCGUGGUGCAGCGGUAGCAUAUCUGACCGGAAAUCAGAAGGCCCAGGUUCGAAUCCUGGCGUAAGCA